rnacentral:rRNA from 1 species
UACGGGGGGGCUAGCGUUGUUCGGAAUUUACUGGGCGUAAAGGGCGCGUAGGCGGUCUAUUUAAGUUGGAUGUGAAAACUCUGGGCUUAACCCAGAGCCUGCAUUCAAGCUGAUAGGCUGAGUUCUGGAGGGGAUAGCGGAAUUCCUGGUGUAGCGGUGAAAUGCGGUAGACUAUCAAGGAGGAACACCCGUGGCGGAAAAGCGGGCUCCUUCUGGGGAACGG